UCUUCUUAGGUAUAUGUAAAAGUAACAGCGCGUGGGAGAAGCAUUCUUGACCGGGUUCGUGGUUUCCUUCUGCUCUCCCUGCCUCUCUGCCUCCUGUCUCGUCCCACUUCCCCCCGCCUGCGCCUCUUCGCCUUACUCUCGUCCGCCAUCCAGCCACCAUUGUCGCUCGUUCUCGUUGUUCAUCGGUCAUCAACGGCUCGCUCGUUGUCUGCUUACCCCGUCGUCGGCUUGUUUCGGCAUGGCUCCUCGCGCUGCUGCUGUUGUGUUUGGUUAGGGUGGGUUUCUUGUUCAAUUUGGUCGAUUUCUGCUGCUCUCAUCGUAGAUUAAUGUGUUCUGACUUGUUCUUGUGUGUUCCUUCCCUGUUCUUUUAUUUACAGGGAUGCUGCAUCUGCUUGUGCGUGUUCCUCUUCAUUCUUUCCGAGGUGAGGUUCUCCCCUGCUUUACAAGUGUUUGAUGAAAUGCGUGGCUGGGUUUUCCCCGGUUUGAGAUCAAUCUUUUGUUUUCCGAGCCAUGGAUGAGUGUUUGUCAGGUUAGAUCUGUUCUGUGAUGCGUCGGUUGUUUUGUUUCCUAGCCCUAGGGAUUGGCUCUGUUAAUUUACAUGGAUGAGUGCCUGCCAUGUUUGAUCUGACGUGUGAUGCUUUCGUUGUUGCCGUUCCUAGACCAACGGAUUAGCCCUAUUAGUUUAGGUAUGUUUUGGUUGCGCUCUUGUCUUCGUCUCCGUUAUGGUUAUGUCUAGGUUGGCAUGGGUUCUAUUGCAGGUGAUUUCUAAUUUUGUUUCUUCCUCGGUUGUCUAGGCUUUAAUUCUCCUGACCGUCUGGCCUGUGCAUGUGGUUUAAUGCUUGUGCCUUUCUGAAUGGAGCUUGUUUCUGUUCAUUAAUUAUUUGUCUGCUGCUGGUAGGCAUGUGUGUGCUCAGGUUGCCAUUGUUCUUUGUCUGCUGCUGGUAGGCAUGUGUGUGCUCAGGUUGCCAUUGUUCUUUGUCUUUCUUCUUCCAUCCUAUUUAGUCUAGACCCUACUUUGUUUGCUGGAGAGUAAAGAUAUUGCAAAGGGCUGCUCGGUGGGAGGCGAGCCCAUGGCCUUGUGCGCAUUCGCUUAUGUUCGUUCCUUUUUUUGGUGUGCUGCAGGUCUUCCUCUGUGACGUUUGGCUGCUUGGUCGCCUGGUUUUCACGCCCCCGGUUCGCCAGAUUUGUGCUGUGGGUCAGCUCACAUGACGCCUCUCGCUCCGUCUUCCGGCUUGGCAAGGUUUUGCCUCCUUCCCUGGCUUUUGCUUUACUGCAUUCCUUUAGAAUUUAGUCUUUUAAUUGAUUCUAAUCAUGUGUGUUACGUGCGUUGUGCUGUUCUGUGCUUCUAUUUACUAUUGUUUAUUGUUCAUUGUUCCUUGUGGCUCUCUUCCUUGUUUGCUCUCGGGUGCUGUUUCUUGCUUAUAAUUCGGUCAUUCUUUUUCAUGUCCAGGAUGCCUGCUAUGGUAUCCUUUGUUUUGCCGAUCCUAGAAACUGUCAUGGCUCAUUAUGAACUUCCUCCUCCUAGCUAUCUGUGUGAGGUCGAUGGGAAUGCCGAUGUCCUUGCUGGGGUAGAGGUUGAGGUUCCUGGGGAUGGUGUGUUCGAGAUGCCACAGAGAGUUUUCUUUUGGAGUCCUGCGUGUCUGGGUUCUGCAGAGGCGUAUGAACGGGCUGCUCUUCAGGCAAUUAGUUUUUUGCAGGGACUGUAUGGAUUUGUAGUUAGAGAUUACAACUAUGACUGUGUUGUUGUCUAUAGGAAUUAUGGAAAGGACGCGGUCGCUGUUGCUGCAUCAGCUGUUCGCUAUGCAGCUUAUUUGGAGAGGAUUCUUGCUUGCACGCGCUCGUCCGCCGCAGACCCAUCUAGAAGAGUGUUCCAUGCCCCGGCCCGGCCACCUGCAAAUCUAGUGUUGCUGUACUCAAGCCUCCUAGCAUAUGUUUCCUUUAUUUAGUCAGUCUGGGAUGUUGUUAUUGUUCCAUUGUCUUGUUUAAUUGAUGGUAAUAUUGUCCUCACCGUCCUUGGGUUUGGUUCAUAAAUUUGAAUUCUGUUGCCAUGUCGAUAUCGCUGCCUUUUAUGUUUUAUAAACUGGGCUUGUCUUGUUUAAUUUCCAUCAACCCAACUUCAAGAUUUUCUGGGUGUUUGUUUUCUUUUUUGUUGCAGCACUAUGUUGUGUAUUUUCUCGUGCUCUUAGUCCCUUUGCUCGUGGUAUGGCUCUGCGUCGGGCUGUGUCCUCACGUUCUGCUGCUCCUUUGGGGAGGCCUCCUGCUUCGGGGCGUGUGGUUGCCCCGCGCAGGGCUACUCGUGCUGCUGCUGCAUUGCCUGCUGUCCCGGCCAGCUCUGCCAUUCCCCUUGUUCGGAAGAGGAAGCGUAUGUUCUGUUCCGCUUGUCCACCUCUGAAUUCAAUUGCAUGAGUUUUAGUAGCCAGCAUUUGGUUCCUUAGCAUUCUCUCUCUUUUCUAUAUCCAUAGGAGAUGGCUUCUUUCCUUUCCUAUCUUCUAUUGAGAGUGCACGGAAUCGUAAGAGGUGCAAGUUCUUGUUGAAAAUACUACGCGCUCAUAACAAGGGUGGUCAGUUCGUAUUUCCUUUAGUUGUUCAUAGGUUUCUUCUUUUUUGUUAUCUGGCAUGUUAGUGUCUUCUUAUGGUUUGCACAGAGCAUACCCUUGCGUCG
rnacentral:lncRNA from 1 species